AGGUGAAAUUUGGUUUCCGGGAGUGUUUAGUUUUAGGUAUAAGAGUUUUAUAUCUGUGGAAACUCGAGUAUAGACCAGGAUUAGAUACCCUGUUAUUUUUAGUUUUAAAUUGAUAGCUUAGAUAGUAAACAGUUAUGGUCUUGAAACUUAAAGAAUUUGGCGGUAUUUUAGUCUGGUUAGAGGAACCUGUUCAGUAAACGAUAUUCCACGAAUAAUUUUACUUCUUCUAGCAAUUUAUGCAGUUUGUAUACCUCCAUCUAUCAGGUAAUUUAUAAAAAAAUAUACCGAAAUAACUAAAUCUUUAGUUUAUAAUUUAGGUCAAGGUGCAGCCCAUGAAGAAGAAUGAAAUGGGUUACAUUAAAACGAGUUUAAGCGGAAAAGAAAAUCUAAUUUUUCUUUGAAGAUGGAUUUAAUAGUAAUUUUAUUUUAGCAUGGUAAUUUGAUAUUAGCUCUAAGAUAUGUA
rnacentral:rRNA from 1 species